rnacentral:lncRNA from 1 species
UUUAUAUUGUGAGCAUCAAUUGCAGCAUAUUCAUCCAGAUUAAUCUGGGUCAUUUUUAAUUCACCAUUUUUACGAGUUUUACGUUUUUUAGAUGAAGAAAUAUCAAUACUAUCAUCAGGUUCCACAUGGCUAGUCAUUGUUCCAACAAUUCCAGCCGGUAUAAAAGCACUCUUCUUUGACUCCUCCUUUAUCAAAAAGUGAAACUCGAGAAGCUUCAGCAUUUCUAUGUGGCCAACGCGUGGCUUUCCGAAAAGGUUUUUGAGCCUCAAAUCACAAAUUAUUUGGCUCUUCCUUCGAGGAUCUCGAAGAUUAUUUCUCUUAAUAUAGUCGAGCAAAAGUGCCUGGACAUCAAACUGAGAUAUAGCAGAGGUAUCACCAUCCUUCAUAUGUGCAACAAAAUCCAAAAGCUCCUUUGACGCCCACUCCAUGCAUCCGUUCGGUGAUGUCUCCGCAAAAGUGCUUUCCUGUUUUGACCCAUGUGCAACAAAAUCCAAAAGCUCCUUCGACGCCCACUCCAUGCAUCCGUUCGGUGAUGUCUCCGCAACAGUGCUUUCCUGUUUUGACCUCAAACAAUCUUCAUUCUGAACCUUUAGCUCUUGAACAGGCUUGGUUAGCU